GUACUAUUAGCUAAGUGGCUACAGCCGGCCCAGUUGAUGGGCUAAGUCGUCAGUUCGAAUCUGACAUAGUACACCA
rnacentral:tRNA from 1 species